GUUUUAAGUAGCUUAAUUAUAAAGCAUCGGUCUUGUAAGUCGAAGAUAAUAAAUUUAUUCUAAAACU
rnacentral:tRNA from 1 species